CCUUCCUCCCGACGCCCACGCCCCCGGUCCUCUCCCGCUCGCCCGCGUCGCCGUUCGCCGCCGCUCCGCGACAAGGCGCCGUAACCGCCUGCCUCUCCCUUUUCCCCUUUCUUCCCCGGCCGCGGCCCCGCUCCCCUUGCGUCACCCGACAGCCGCGCGCCUCCCUGUCCCCGCUCCGCGACAGCCGCUGCGACCGCCCGCGCGCGCUCCACCUUUCCCCCGCCUCGGCCGCCCGCGCUGCCGAGCCCUAGCCCCCGCUACAGCCGCUCGAUGGCCGCCGCGUGGCCGUGGCACGGACGCCGGGCAUCACCGCCCUCGGCGCCCGAGCCCGCGCCACAAACCCUAGACCGCCCCAUAAGAAGCCUCGGCCGCCACCCCAAAAACCCUAGCCGCCCGAGCCUUGCCCUCUUCCACCGCCGCCGUAGCCCGAGGAGAAGAGAGAGGAGCAGAGGGAGGAGGAGAAGUGCUGCGCGAGGAGGAGCCGUGGACGACUACACCGCCGCCGCCCGGAGCUGCUCGAGGAGGAAGACGCCGUCCCACGCCGGAGCUUCACCGAGCCGGCGCCCCCGAUCGUCUACGUCGACGUUGCAGCGCACCCCGCACGGCACCGACCCGCCUGCGUCGCCUCACCGCAGCCCCAAGUUCCCCCUUCCUCGGCCCCUCCGGACCCGUCCGCGAGGAGCUGACCGACGACCAGGACUACCCGGAGACUCAGGAGGACUUCGAGGAGACGCCAGGUUCACGCCCAUCUACGAAUUGAACUCCUAUUAGACAUUUGCUUGUAGACAUGCUAUUGCUGUAUGUGUAUAUGUAUGUAUAUAUCGAGAUAAACCUGCAUGGCCUCUUUACGACCCAUAUUCCUUGACAACCCAUCUUGGAUUGUUUAUUAUAUAAUAUACCUUGUAAAUCCUUGGAA